rnacentral:lncRNA from 1 species
AGAAAGUGCAGCGACGGGAUGGGAGAGUUACAUAGGAUUGUGAAGGAGCAGGAGGUUGCGGGAGAUCACGAAGUGGCUGGAGAGCCGUGAGAGAGUUAGAGAGAGAGAAGACGGUGAGAUGGGAAGGGAAGGCGGUUGGCUGCUGGUCAGAGGUGGGGCGAUGGUGACAGAGGGCUGGUUGCCGGCAGCAGCGUGUGGAGAUGGAUUUGAAGGGCGCAUGACUCAGAGUGGUGGAGAGAGAGGUGGAGAUAGCAUAGGGGGUGGCAGUAGCGGUUGAGAGAGAGGUGGAGGUGAGGAAGGAAGAGAGUGAGGUGGUGGAUAGGGAACGAGGUGAACGAAGGGAAAAAGGGGCACGAAGAAGAGGGGGCAGUGACUAUUGCCGCUUGUGUUUGAUUGAGGAGGGUGCGAGCUAUUAAAGAGAGAGGAUGAGGAAUGGAAAAGAGAGAUUGGGAGGUGAGAGUGAGAAGGGAGACAACAGCUAGACGGAAG